UGGCGAACGGGUGAGUAACACGUGGGUGAUCUGCCCUGCACUCUGGGAUAAGCCUGGGAAACUGGGUCUAAUACCGGAUAGGACCAUGCUUUAGUGUGUGUGGUGGAAAGUUUUUUCGGUGUAGGAUGAGCCCGCGGCCUAUCAGCUUGUUGGUGGGGUAAUGGCCUACCAAGGCGGCGACGAGUAGCCGGACUGAGAGGUUGGUCGGCCACAUUGGGACUGAGAUACGGCCCAG
rnacentral:rRNA from 1 species